CUUCAGGUUAAAAGCCCAAAUGAGGUUGAUUGGCAAUUAGCUCAGAGACAAAUUGGAGAUUAAGGAACCCUGGGGAGUGGGAGGAGUUUGAUUAAUGGGACUGUUUGCAAACCCUCAGCCAAAGAGAAGUGAGCCCUGUGCGAGGGAAGCUGAGCUCCAGACAGAUACAAGUAAAGGAAAAUGGGUGGGACAAACACCGUGGGCUGAGACAUGACAUCAAUAACAGCUUCUUGUGUAGGGGUCCCAGAAAAGAAGCCCCACUCCUUCAAUUUGCUGCAGCAAAUUUGAUGGGGCAGGUCAGAGGGAACUGAGGUCAAAGUACGUUACUGAGCCCACAAGAAGAAAGACUGUUCUGUUUGUUUGGACUACUGUAUUUACCUCUGAAGAGGAGGACUUUAUAUUUGAUUGGAGAGCCAAAUCACCCAGCUGCCAGAGUGAGAGGCGCUGUCUGUGGAGGGGACACUAAGACAUGUAUGAAACGGUGAACUGAGGUGGUGACUAUGAAUCGAUACCAGAGAGGAGGAACAUCCCACAUUUUAGAUGCCACUUCACCUCUGUCCUACGCAAAUCUGGUGUUGUCUUUUAUUAUUGCCAGGAGCAAAGAUGAAUCAUGAAACUGAAGUUACGGGAAGUUGAUUUCUGAAACAAAUCACAUCACUCAACUAAAAAUGCUGCCGCUCUCCCUUUCCAGGGUUUUCCAGCAUUGGACUGGGGAGGCAAAAACCUACAGGCAAAGGAAUGAGGGAGCUCCAAGUAUAGUCUAAGCAAUGGUGGGUGAGUAAUGCUGUACCAUCACCUCUGGGACGCAGAGACAUAAGGCUAUAGUUCAGACUCCAGGUGCUUUCAGAAGUUUUCAUAGGCUACACACAACAUUCAGGGAGACCAUUAACUGCUUUAUGAGCUAUUUCUUCCUACAACUCAAGAAUAUACAUACACCAGGAGCAAAAGGGAUGGUAACGAGCAUUCCCUGAAGAUGACAACAGUGGGCCCCCCAGUACUUACCCUAGCAGUUGGGGUACAGCUACUGUGCUGGAUUAUCAGGACUCAGGAGAGCUGGACCAGAUGCACAUUUCUUCUGCUGCUCCACCCAGAGUCCUCUAGGCUGGAGUGAUGGUUGGACUCCCCAAAGGAGUAGUGUUUGGAGCUAGCACCGCAUUGAAGCAAAUAGGAUAGUUUGCACAUCUCAGAACUAUUGUUGCUAUAUGCAGACUCAGAGGGCUCUCGUCCAGAGGAGUCGGCUGACUGGCUUAAACUGUGAUGCCAUUCCUGUAAGAAUGUUUCUUGAAGGCAGCCCCAAAGAAUACAAAAUGUUGAUAUUUUACUCUUCCAUAUGCCAAGAAAAUGCAAGUAUGGUUCGCAUGAUUGCAGUGAGUACCUCGCCUCUGCAGGAGGAAAAUGGUUUGUGGUGUUAUCUGUUAUUGAAACUAGGUAGCAAACAAUAAUAAAACUGAACAUAAAAUGCAAGAGAGCAUUCUUACCCUAAAUUGCUGAAAGUCCAUCUUCUCAAAAGGGGAUUGGCUGACAUACUGCAUUGUCAGUCCCAGCUGUGCCACCUUCCAGGAAUGAUGUCAAAACAUGCCUGCCCCUGGAGGUUUAGAGUGCCCAUGUACUGUAGUUUGGGGCCACCUGCUGCAUUUCUGAGCCAGCUCAUUUCUACACAGUGCUCACUGGAGCAGAGAAGAUUAACUUUCUGAAAAUGAAAAAGGACAGAUAGAAGAACUGCUUAUCAAAUAUGCACAUUUCAGAUGGAACUUCACACUCAGUAGAAAGAUGUUAGAUUGCUGUUAGCUCUCUGGAGCGCUCCUGACAAUGUGUUAUCAGGUCAUGUUUGCAUGACAGUGGCAGCCCAUGCAGGAAACAUUAAGUCAUAUGACUUCUAAGACGGAAUCAAUCAAGUGAACAGUACAGCUCCUGAAAACUAAUUUCACCUUCAUAAGGUCUGGUUAUCUGUGCGGCAGACAUGAGGUUUGUCAGCCCCAUUUCAGUCUGACCAGGUUCAGCACUGCAUCAAGAAUUUUAAUGAACCGAUACUGUAAUAUGUAUGAAAGAUGACACUGAGAUGAAUUCAUGAAAAGCCAAGUCCCCAUGAAAUAUGAACAAUUACUGCAAGCUUCAUCCCCCACUUAGCUCACAUAAAAUGUUCAUUUAAAAGGCCUUUUGUCUUGUUGUUAAUCAUUUACAAGUUUGUGUACGGCUUUUCAUCAUCUGUAAGCAGUUUUAAAGCUGAAAAUGAGUGUCAGUAUUUUUUGUGACAUCAGGGUACCAAGGGCACCUUGUUAAAUGCAAAGUAAUACUAGUAAUACUGUUAAGUUUUUCCAGACUCCUUGUCAUAGCAUUAUCAGCUUGUGUCCGUGCAUAUUGUGAAAACAUGCAACUGCCUUGGGGUGCACUGACCUGCCAUACAGUGAAUUGUGGUGUCUGCUGUAGUAUUUAUAGCACAGGAAUAACUGGACUCAGCCACAGAGGAGGUACUUGCUUUGUCUGCUCGAGUCCAGGCGAGGUAUGUCAGGGAGAAAACCUCUCUCUGAGUCAGGGAUCCGGUUACAAGACAGCAGUAGGACACUAGUAACUCUUUUAGUGGCUGAAUGAAUUACAGAUAUUUUCUGGCACUAUUUCUGGAAGUCAUCGUUCAGCACCUUCUUUCCAGAAAAUACGACUCUGGGAGAUUGUAGCUUGCAGGAAUACCAAGAGGAAAAAAGAGAAGCCCCAAUCCACCAGUAGGGUGGCAAGAGUACCAAAAUAUUUCCUUAUUAGUGGGCCAGACACAUCCCUUCAGGUUUGAGGGUUCUUGAAUCCCUGCAC